GCAACCCUAGUCUCCAGUCUCCACUCCCCAACUCUCUCCACUCUCCCCUCGAGUCUUCGACCAUUCCACUGCGCCGAAAACUCCUCCUCCCACACUCCACAGAGCCGUUGUCCUCUCAGCCAUUGACGUCGCCAAAUAGCACCCUCUCGGUGACCCUUCCUCGUCAGUCUUCACGCUUCCCUCUUCUUGCUUCUCGGUGCGGUCCUUCCUCUUCCGACCUUCCUCAUCGCGCUUCCCUCACCUUGGUAGGGCUCUGUCUGUUCCUCACUUCCUCGUCGUCCUCCACGCCCAGUAGCGGCAUCUCCUCCAAGCAGCAGGAGCUGGGUCGUCCUCCACGAACAUCAUUCUUCGUUUCUUCCAGGACUUAAAGAGGAGUCACCAACAUUUGAUUCCAUUCAAUUCACCCUUCACAAACCCUAAUUUUCAACCAGAGUGAGCAUGAAAGAUGGCACCAACUCUACCUCGGACUUUUUGAUGGAAUUCUUGGUAGCAGCUUGACUUGUCAGAGUUGCUCAUCCCAGAUCUCAAUUAACUUAAAACAAUUUGAUUGUUUGCCUCUUUCACCUGUGCUUAAUGGUUCCACACUGAUUUAUGCAUUUUGUUGAAAAGAGUUCAUAUAAAUAACUUUGGAGAACCUAUCAAAUUGCAGGUAUUUUUAAUGUUCAGUGAAUCAUGAUGUUUAUGGGUUAGAAGAAAUAUCCUUUCCUAUUGUUUCAAUCUGCAGAAAUUUACAGGAUACAAAAACAAAAAAAAAGCAUAUAAAUGGUCAUGAAAGAGUUUGUGUUAUGAUGAUGGAUUGAUGCUGCACCAGUCUUCCAAAUGAAUCUACAAGCAUUAGAUCUCCGACUGCAUUGCCUGCAGCUGUGCCAGCUCCUCAGAGCUCCUCGUAGAAACACUGGAAAUUUAUAUUUUAUUUUUUGUUGUGUUGACUAUUGAAUUUUUAAACUUCGUUAAUUGUUGUAUGUUAAUUUCUUUUGUUGUUGAAUUUCAUUAGAUCAAGACUUUGUUAGUUAUUGUGAA